AGUGUUGUAAGGUGUUUAUACAUUUUAAAAGGGAUUUUCUGUUGGCCUGCUGAUGAAGGGAAAAUGCUAUCGCACACUACAUUUUUGUUAACAUUCAAAAUAUCUGGAACAUUUUUGCAGUACUGCAUAUCAAUUCUUUGGUCCUUUCAUGUGUCUUUGGUGUCCUCAGGCUGUGUCACCAGAUGGGGAGGCCAUCGUCACAGGUGCAGGGGAUGAGACGCUACGAUUCUGGAACGUCUUCAGUAAGACGCGUUGCACCAAGGAAUCAAAGUCUGUGCUGAACCUCUUCACAAGAAUACGGUAGUUAACAUACAGCUUCAGGACUGGUUUGGGAGGAGCCAUCUAAAGUUGUGGUUGAAGUUCAUCACAGCCAUCAGAGUUGUUAGAGUAAAAUGUGCAGACGCAGUCUGGACUCAUCUGAUCGCAGCAGCACGUGCUCUCCCUGCAGCAGUACACAAAUCGUUUUGAUUUUAGUUCUAAGAUCUGAGCUAUCAUGUUGACGUCACCACAUUUUUAAGGGCACUUUUUAUUGUAAUGGAAAGGAAACAUGAAACCUAGGUUUUGUUUUGUUUUUGUAUGCAGUUCGGAAUUUCAGUGACAGCUCCCAUCACACCACGCGGUGAUGCCACGUUAGAUUAAAAAAAAUAAAGCAGUCUGUUGUACGGACACAUGA